rnacentral:rRNA from 1 species
UACGGGGGGUGCGAGCGUUGUCCGGAAUCACUGGGCGUAAAGGGCGCGUAGGUGGUUUGAUAAGGGUGUGGUGAAAGUCCGGGGCUCAACCCCGGAUCUGCCGUGCCGACUGUCAAACUCGAGGGCUGUAGAGGCAGACGGAAUUCCGGGUGUAGCGGUGGAAUGCGUAGAGAUCCGGAGGAACACCGGUGGCGAAGGCGGCAUCCUGGACCAACACUGACGCUGAGGAGCGAAAGCCAGGGGAGCAAACGGG